rnacentral:rRNA from 1 species
AGCAGCCGCGGUAAUUCCAGCUCCAAUAGCGUAUAUUAAAGUUGUUGCAGUUAAAAAGCUCGUAGUUGAAUUUCGGGAUUGACGUGAUGGUCAUGCCUUAAGGGGUAUGAACUGUUACAGUUGAUUUCUCACCUUCUGGAGAAACUUGAUGUCCUUUAUUGGGUGUCUUGCGGAUCCAGGACCUUUACCUUGAAAAAAUUAGAGUGUUUAAAGCAGGCAUUUUUGCUCGAAUACAUUAGCAUGGAAUAAUAGAAUAGGACGGCAUGGUUCUAUUUUGUUGGUUUCUAGGAUCACCGUAAUGAUUAAUAGGGAUAGUUGGGGGCAUUAGUAUUCAAUUGUCAGAGGUGAAAUUCUUGGAUUUAUUGAAGACUAACUACUGCGAAAGCAUUUGCCAAGGAUGUUUUCAUUAAUCAAGAACGAAAGUUAGGGGAUCGAAGACGAUCAGAUACCGUCGUAGUCUUAACCAUAAACUAUGCCGACUAGGAAUCAGACGAUGUUAAUUUUUAAUGACUCGUUUGG